rfam:Hordeum vulgare subsp. vulgare, WGS project CAJW01000000 data, contig: morex_contig_41382
UUUUUACUCCUUCCAUCCGAAUUUACUUGUCGCAUAAAUUGAUAAAAAUAAAUGUAUCUAGAACUAAAAUACAUCUAGAUACAUCCAUUUAUAUGACAAGUAUUUACGGACGGAGUGAGUAUUUA